GACGGGUGAGUAACACGUGGGUAACCUGCCUGUAAGACUGGGAUAACUCCGGGAAACCGGGGCUAAUACCGGAUGCUUGAUUGAACCGCAUGGUUCAAUUAUAAAAGGUGGCUUUUAGCUACCACUUACAGAUGGACCCGCGGCGCAUUAGCUAGUUGGUGAGGUAACGGCUCACCAAGGCAACGAUGCGUAGCCGACCUGAGAGGGUGAUCGGCCACACUGGGACUGAGACACGGCCCAGACUCCUACGGGAGGCAGCAGUAGGGAAUCUUCCGCAAUGGACGAAAGUCUGACGGAGCAACGCCGCGUGAGUGAUGAAGGUUUUCGGAUCGUAAAACUCUGUUGUUAGGGAAGAACAAGUACCGUUCGAAUAGGGCGGUACCUUGACGGUACCUAACCAGAAAGCCACGGCUAACUACGUGCCAGCAGCCGCGGUAAUACGUAGGUGGCAAGCGUUGUCCGGAAUUAUUGGGCGUAAAGCGCGCGCAGGCGGUUUCUUAAGUCUGAUGUGAAAGCCCCCGGCUCAACCGGGGAGGGUCAUUGGAAACUGGGGAACUUGAGUGCAGAAGAGGAGAGUGGAAUUCCACGUGUAGCGGUGAAAUGCGUAGAGAUGUGGAGGAACACCAGUGGCGAAGGCGACUCUCUGGUCUGUAACUGACGCUGAGGCGCGAAAGCGUGGGGAGCGAACAGGAUUAGAUACCCUGGUAGUCCACGCCGUAAACGAUGAGUGCUAAGUGUUAGAGGGUUUCCGCCCUUUAGUGCUGCAGCAAACGCAUUAAGCACUCCGCCUGGGGAGUACGGUCGCAAGACUGAAACUCAAAGGAAUUGACGGGGGCCCGCACAAGCGGUGGAGCAUGUGGUUUAAUUCGAAGCAACGCGAAGAACCUUACCAGGUCUUGACAUCCUCUGACAACCCUAGAGAUAGGGCUUCCCCUUCGGGGGCAGAGUGACAGGUGGUGCAUGGUUGUCGUCAGCUCGUGUCGUGAGAUGUUGGGUUAAGUCCCGCAACGAGCGCAACCCUUGAUCUUAGUUGCCAGCAUUCAGUUGGGCACUCUAAGGUGACUGCCGGUGACAAACCGGAGGAAGGUGGGGAUGACGUCAAAUCAUCAUGCCCCUUAUGACCUGGGCUACACACGUGCUACAAUGGGCAGAACAAAGGGCAGCGAAGCCGCGAGGCUAAGCCAAUCCCACAAAUCUGUUCUCAGUUCGGAUCGCAGUCUGCAACUCGACUGCGUGAAGCUGGAAUCGCUAGUAAUCGCGGAUCAGCAUGCCGCGGUGAAUACGUUCC
rnacentral:rRNA from 1 species